ensembl:snoRNA
ACAUUUUUGUAGUUUAUACGCAUGAUGAUUGGGUUUUCAUACUCAAGUGUGAAAUGUGCCUCCCUCAAACCUUGUUAUGACAUUAGCACAUUACCAGUCUGAAA